GACGAACGCUGGCGGCGUGCCUAACACAUGCAAGUCGAGCGGGGUCCAUCCAGUGGCAACACUGGGGAAGACCUAGCGGCGAACGGGUGAGUAACACGUGAGGAACCUGCCCCGAAGACCGGGAUAACCCGAGGAAACUCAAGCUAAUACCGGAUACCCCCACGAGAUCGCAUGGUCUUGUGAGGAAAUGUCUUUUCGCUUCGGGAGGGCCUCGCGGCCUAUCAGCUAGUUGGCGGGGGUAACGGCCCACCAAGGCAUCGACGGGUAGCUGGUCUGAGAGGACGAUCAGCCACACUGGGACUGAGACACGGCCCAGACUCCUACGGGAGGCAGCAGUGGGGAAUCUUGCGCAAUGGGCCGAAAGCCUGACGCAGCAACGCCGCGUGGGGGACGAAGGCUCUCGGGUUGUAAACCCCUUUCAGGAGGGACGAAAUUGACGGUACCUCCAGAAGAAGCCCCGGCCAACUACGUGCCAGCAGCCGCGGUAAU
rnacentral:rRNA from 1 species